AUGAUUGUGGCUCAUCUGAAAAAAACGUAGGCAAGAAGAAAAAGCUAAUUUCAAGAAAAAAAGAGUGUAAGGAUGGUUAACAGUGCUUCGACCCUUCAGGUUCUUCCUCUGCUCAUUCUCCUAGGGAACACAUAUUUGUGCGCUUCCCAUUUCUUCUUCCUGGCUGACCUGCUGCAUGAUGAGGCUGAUGACUACGAGUACUACGACGAGUACACGCAACCGGAGCAGGACCCCAUCCUCCAGCAGCAGCCCUCAGAGGACCCUGACUGGUUUGAGGCAUUUUUUGGCUACAGCGAUAGCAGGAAAGCAGACUCGUGCUCCUCCAACCCCUGCAAGAACAAUGGAAGGUGCGAAAACAAAGGAAACGGCUUCAGCUGUCUCUGCCCCGAGCCCUACGCCGGGACUGCCUGCGAGGAAGUGAAGGACAUGUGUCUGGAGAAGAGGUGCAACAGGGGAGACUGCCUGAUUACAUUAACCCCACCAUAUUUCCAGUGCAGCUGCAAUCACCCCUACAAACUACCUGACUGCCAUAGAGCAUCUUCACCCUGCAGACCAAACCCGUGCAAAAAUGGAGGCACCUGCAUACGGCACAGAAUCAGAUCAAAAUUCACCUGCGAGUGCCCCAAACCUUUCAGAGGGAGAUUCUGUGAGAUUGGACCAGACGAUUGUUAUGAGGAGGACUCCUCUACGUACAGAGGAAGAGUGAACCAGGCAGUGAAUGGCAAGACCUGUCUGCACUGGAAUUCCCACGUUCUCUUGAACCACCCCAUUAAUGCCUUUAUGGAGGACGCUGACUCUUAUGGCAUCGGUGAACAUAACUUCUGCAGGAAUCCUGAUGAGGAUGAAAAGCCCUGGUGCUACAUCAGAAAAAAUCACAAAGUGGAAUGGGACUUCUGUGACGUUUCACCCUGCUCAGGAACAGCUGGAGAGAGCCCAUGGCCAACAGACAGUGCAACGCACCCACCUGGAUCAGAUGACAUGUUCCAAACAUGUGGACAACCCGAAAUUCAAACACUCAAGAGAAUCUAUGGUGGAGCUAAGACUACAGCUGGCAAACAUCCCUGGAUGGCAUCUCUGCAGAUAAAGACUUCAAGAAGGAGCAGGCAUUUCUGUGGAGGAGUGCUAAUUAAAGCAUGCUGGGUUCUUACUGCUGCACACUGCAUUGAACAACCAGCAGAAAAUCUCCAAGUAGCCCUUGGAAAGCAAGACCUCAAGAAGAGAGAGCAUCAAGAGCAAAUAUUUGAUGUGGAGAAGAUCAUCGUCCACUACAGAUAUAAAGAGAAGGGCGGUGUCCCACACAAUGACAUUGCACUGCUGAAGCUGAAGCCAGUUGAUGGUCACUGUGCCAUGGAAACAAAGUAUGUGAAAACAGCGUGUCUGCCUGACUCCUUCUUUCCCAUUGGGACUGACUGCUUCAUCUCGGGAUGGGGCACGACCGAAACAGAUGAUCUGUCCCGUCAGCUGUUGGACGCCAACGUCAAGCUGAUCUCGCAAACGAAGUGCAAUGCAGCCAGGGCAUAUGAUGGCCAACUGGAUGAAAGCAUGUUUUGUGCAGGAAAUCUUCGGAAACACGGAGUUGAUUCUUGUCAGGGAGACUCUGGAGGCCCACUAACUUGUGUGGAAAACGGUUCUUACUACGUCUACGGCCUCGUGAGCUGGGGUGAAGAGUGCGGGUUAAAAAACAAGCCAGGAGUUUAUACUCAGGUGACAGCAUUUCUCAGCUGGAUUAAAUCCAAAAUUCGAUCUGAGUGAAGGUCCCUUCAUUAGGAGACAGCUUUGGAAUGACAAAUGGUCAAUGGUGCCAAUAAUCCAGGAACAUAAAAAUCUACAAAGAUUACAAAAUUUCUGAAGCAUCAGGGUUGACUGUGUCCUGCUGAGAUCCUUCCAUCUCCAAUUGGUCCUGUAAAAUCAAAACCAACUGUAUUGUGAGCACAGCCAGUGGACAGAGAAAGUUUUAACAAUUAUUCUAUAAAAAUAUUUGCAUAUUAAAAAUUACCUCAACUGGCAAACAAAUGAGCAAAAUCUGAAUCACUGCCCUGCACUGAGCUAAUAUCUACAACGGAAAAGCGGAGCCAUUCAUCUGUUAGAUACUACACACAUUGAAGGACUGAAUUUGCUCAACUCCUAAUUUCUAGUUUGAGGACUAAAUAAAGAGCAAACCAGUAAACACCUGAGUUCCAGGUGGAUUGCACACCUGUAGAUUUCCCUGGGACCAUCAGAUCAUUAUCAUAUGUAGGACUUAAGAAGAUAUUGCCUGCAGUCCCCACUGCCUGCAUUCCUCAAUCACAGUCAUAAUUUAUUUCCUGAAUAACUUUUCAGAUGGGAACAUAAAUCAUGGGUAUGUUCUGUUUUUCUUGGGCUGGCUUAUUGUUUGACUUGUUGCCAAAGUUAAACAUUAAAUGAAACAAGUACUUGAAGUGCA